rnacentral:rRNA from 1 species
UACGUAGGGGCGAGCGUUGUCCGGAUUUAUUGGGCGUAAAGAGCGUGUAGGCGGCCAGGUAGGUCUGCUGUGAAACUCGAGGCUCAACCUCGAGACGUCGGCGGAAACCAUCUGGCUAGAGUCCGGAAGAGGAGAGUGGAAUUCCUGGUGUAGCGGUGAAAUGCGCAGAUAUCAGGAAGAACACCCGUGGCGAAGGCGGCUCUCUGGGACGGUACUGACGCUGAGACGCGAAAGCGUGGGUAGCAAACAGG